rnacentral:lncRNA from 1 species
CAGCAAAGACCCUCAGAAUGAUCCUCCAUGAACUUAUGCUCUCAUUUUCAGACUGAUGGGAAGAAGAGUUACUAUAAGAAGGUGUGCAUUGAUGCGGAAACCCUGGAAGUGGGGGACUGUGUCUCUGUUAUUCCAGAUGAUUCCUCAAAACCGCUGUAUCUAGCAAGGUUUGCAUCUUUCUUUUUGCUUGACUUCUGCAUGCACUUUCUCAUCAAGUAGGAGAUGCCUGUUUUGCCAAAAUAGCACCAGCAGCUUUUUGCCCUAGAUGAAAACUGAAAAGGACGAGUGCUCCUGCAUAGACUUGGUCACAUAUCUGCUGGCCAAGUCAGAACUUUCUCCCCAUGCCCGUCUUCUGAUUCCAGGGUCACGGCGCUGUGGGAGGACAGCAGCAACGGGCAGAUGUUUCACGCCCACUGGUUCUGCGCUGGGACAGACACAGUCCUCGGGGCCACGUCGGACCCUCUGGAGCUGUUCUUGGUGGAUGAAUGUGAGGACAUGCAGCUUUCAUAUAUCCACAGCAAAGUGAAAGUCAUCUACAAAGCCCCCUCCGAAAACUGGGCCAUGGAGGUGAGUGCCUGGUGUCCCUCGUGAGCCCCUGCCUUAUCGUGGAGGGUCACUGCUGACGUGCGUUCUGUUUUGUUUUGAUUUGUAUUUUUUUUUAAUUUGGUUUUUUUUUUGUUUUUUUUUUUGUUUUGAGACUGAGUUUCGCUCUUGUUGCCCAGGCUGGAGUGCAAUGGCAUGAUCUCAGCUCACUGCAACCUCCACCUCCUGGGUUCAAGUGAUUCUCCUGCCUCAGCCUCCCGAGUAGUUGGGAUUACAGGCACCCACCAUCACGUCCAGCUAAUUUUUUGUAUUUUUAGUAGAGACGGGGUUUCACCAUGUUGGCCAGGCUGGUCUCGAACUCCUGACCUUAGGUGAUCCACCCGCCUCGGCCUCCCAUAGUGCUGGGAAUACAGGCAUGAGCCACUGCGCCUGGCCUGACACGCAUUCUUAUCUCCCAAGGGAGGCAUGGAUCCCGAGUCCCUGCUGGAGGGGGACGACGGGAAGACCUACUUCUACCAGCUGUGGUAUGAUCAAGACUACGCGAGAUUCGAGUCCCCUCCAAAAACCCAGCCAACAGAGGACAACAAGUUCAAGUGAGCACUGGGGCUGGACUCGGGGUCAGCAGGCACUUUCAGCCCACAUCACUCCCUUUUCCCGUGUGCUUCCGUCUGGUUGGCUUCCGCCAACGGCCCCCCAGUUUGUGUCUCUUGCUCGUCAAAGGCCAGCCUGACUAUGAAUGAUGCUCAAGUGUGUAGAUGGCCUGGAGUUGCUUUAAGUGUGUGGAUGACCUGGCGUUGUCUUUGUAAGAGGGUUCCCUACCCAGGAACAGGGUUCGUCUUGCCAUUUCAAGACUUCCCGUGUGUUCUUCAGUGUGUGCCCAGCUCUUGCAUGUUUUUGGCUGUUUCUUAGAUAUUUUCUCCUGUAAAUGAGACCUCUUAUUUGAUUCUUUUCUUUCCUUUUUUUUUUUCUUUUUUUUUUUUUGAGACGGAGUCUCGCUCUGUUGCCCAGGCUGGAGUGCAGUGGUGCGAUCUUGGCUUACUGCAAACUCAGCUUCCUGGGUUCAUGCCAUUCUCCUGCCUCAGCCUCCUGAGUUGCUGGGACUACAGGCGCCUGCCACCACACCCGGCUAGUUUUUUGUAUUUUUAGUAGAGACGAGGUUUCACUGUGUUAGCCAGGAUGGUCUCGAUCUCCUGACCUUGUGAUCUGCCCGCCUUGGCCUCCCAAAGUGCUGGGAUUACAGGCGUGAGCCACCACACCUGUCCUCGAUUCUUUUGUAACUGGGUGACUGCUUUGAGGGAAGCUUUUAUUUUUUAUUUUAUUUUAUUAUUAUUUUUUUAAUUUUUUUUUUUUUUUUUUUUUUGAGACAGAGUUUCGCUUUUGUUGCCCAGGCUGGAGUGCAGUGGCUCAAUCUUGGCCCACCGCAACCUCUACUUCCUGGGUUCAAGCGAUUCUCCUGCCUCAGCCUCCUGAGUAGCUGGGAUUACAAGCAUGGGCCACCAUGCCCGGCUACUUUUUUUGUAUUUUUAGUAGAGAUGGGGUUUCUCCAUGUUGGUCAGGCUGGUCUCGAACUCCCGACCUCAGGUGAUCUACCCGCUUCGGCUUCCCAAAGUGCUGGGAUUACAGGUGUGAGCCACCGCGCCCGGCGAGCUUUUAUUUUUUAAUGUCCAAUGCCCCAUGCCUUCUUUUUAACCUCCGUACCUCACUUGUUUCAACUAAAAGCAGCAGCCAGCACCCCCAGAGGAGCAGGUGGCAACCAGGGAAACCCAGGAGGCCAAGAGGGCUCCCCGGGGGCAUCUGUGCUUCUCCCAUAAGUCUCGUGCUAGCUUUGGCUUGAUCUCUAUUUUCAUUUUAUUUUUUACUUUUUUGUGAUGGAGUUUCACUCUUGUCACCCAGGCUGGAGUGCAGUGGCACGAUCUCGGCUCACUGCAACCUCCACCUCCUGGGUUCAAGUGAUUCUCCUGCCUCAGCUUCCCAAGUAGCUGGGACUACAGGCGCCUGCCACCAUGCCCGGCUAAUUUUUGUAUUUUUAGUAGAGACAGGGCUUCACCGUGUUGGCCAGGCUGGUCUGGAACUCCUGACCUUGGGUCAUCUGCUCCCUUCAGGCUCCUAAAGUGCUGGGAUUACAGGCAUGAACUACUGCACCCAACCUCAUUUACUUAUUUAUUUAUCACCCAACCUCUUUUAUUUAUUUAUUUAUUUAUUUAUUUAUUUAUCUGAGACAGGGUCUCCCUCUGUCACCCAGGCUGGAAUGCAGUGGUGUGGUCACAGCUCACUGUAGCCUCGACCUGCUGGGCUCAAGUGAUCUUCCUGCCUCAGCCUCCUGAGUAGCUGGGACUGCAGGCAUGCACCACCCUGCCUGGUUAAUGUUUUAAAAAUUUUUUGUAGAGACGGGGUCUCACUGUGUUGGCCAGGCUAGUCUCAAACUUCUGGGCUCAAGCGACCCUCCUGCCUUGGCCUCCCAAAGGGCUGGGAUUACAGACAUGAGCCACCAUGCUGGGCCUUGAUCUCUAUUUUUAAGGCCAUCUUCAAGUCUCCUUUAAGGGCUUACUAGUCAAGAAUAAUGUUGAAUUUCCUCAAAUACCUGUUGAGCCUUUAUGGAGAGAACAGUAGGAGUCUCUGCUGGAUUGAGUUCCUCACUGAGCCACUCGGGACUGUUGCUCGUGGUGUGUUCUU